ensembl:lncRNA
CAGAAGUUCGUAUUAUAACGUUCUAAUCCGCGCGAGACUUGGGAGGUUAAUUGACUUGUUAAUAGUGUGCCAGAAAUACAUGUUUCUGGUCAAUUACACGUAAAGAGCAAAAAUGAUAUAGAUAAAUCUAAGGAAGUAGUAGGAUUUUAUGGAAACGAGUACAGAGGUGGAGGGGGACCAUUAAAAAACAAAACAAAAAAAAACAACAAAUGGCGCAUUAGGCUGGAAGCGAGGCUGAUAUCUCUUCGCUCUCAUUCUGAACAAGCCAUGAGCAACUUUUUAAGACGCGCGAGCUGUCCUCAACGUUAACACGUCCGUGUUUGAGGCCAUCAGAUCUUGAGAGUAGAGGUUGGAGAAGACAAGGCUGAGCAUUGCGCAACCUGGGAGUGCCGCUCCUUAUUUUGGAACUGAAUUCUUCUUUUGCUUCCAACAAAAGUGACUCUUUUGGAACCGAUAUAGUUUUAUUUUUUUAAAAAUCCUGAACUGUGAUUG